AGCAGCCGCGGUAAUUCCAGCUCCAAUAGCGUAUAUUAAAGUUGUUGCAGUUAAAAAGCUCGUAGUUGAAUUUCGGGAUCAGUACGCCGGUCGUGCCUUCGGUAUGCACUGGUGUCACUGGUUUCUCCCUUCUGAAGAACCAUCAUGCCAUUCAGUUGGUGUGGCGGGGAAUCAGGACUGUUACUUUGAGAAAAUUAGAGUGUUUAAAGCAGGCUCGCGCUUGAAUACAUUAGCAUGGAAUAAUGAAAUAGGACGUUUGACCCUAUUUUGUUGGUUUCUAGGAUCGACGUAAUGAUUAAUAGGGAUAGUUGGGGGCAUUAGUAUUCAAUUGUCAGAGGUGAAACUCUUGGAUUUAUUGAAGACUAACUACUGCGAAAGCAUUUGCCAAGGAUGUUUUCAUUAAUCAAGAACGAAAGUUAGGGGAUCGAAGACGAUCAGAUACCGUCGUAGUCUUAACCAUAAACUAUGCCGACUAGGGAUCGGAUGAUGUUAAUU
rnacentral:misc_RNA from 1 species